UAGGGAAUCUUCGGCAAUGGGGGGAACCCUGACCGAGCAACGCCGCGUGAGUGAAGAAGGUUUUCGGAUCGUAAAGCUCUGUUGUUAAGGAAGAACGAGUGUGAGAAUGGAAAGUUCAUACUGUGACGGUACUUAACCAGAAAGGGACGGCUAACUACGUGCCAGCAGCCGCGGUAAUACGUAGGUCCCGAGCGUUGUCCGGAUUUAUUGGGCGUAAAGCGAGCGCAGGCGGUUAGAUAAGUCUGAAGUUAAAGGCAGUGGCUCAACCAUUGUAGGCUUUGGAAACUGUUUAACUUGAGUGCAGAAGGGGAGAGUGGAAGUCCAUGUGUAGCGGUGAAAUGCGUAGAUAUAUGGGGGAACACCGGUGGCGAAAGCGGCUCUCUGGUCUGUAACUGACGCUGAGGCUCGAAAGCGUGGGGAGCGAACAGG
rnacentral:rRNA from 1 species